AGAGUCGGCCGGACGGUCGCUGGCGGUUGUGCCUGUUUCUCCGCUUUAGUCAGAGUCAUUUGGCGAGGCGGAAUAACAAGGCACCCGCGGGAGGAAAGUCCGGGCUCCGCAGGAUGCAGUGGUGGGUAACGCCCACCGGUCGUGAGACCAGGGAAAGUGCAACAGAAAGAUACCGCCACGUCGCGUCAGCUUCGGCUGGCGUGGCGCGGUAAGGGUGAAAUGGUGCGGUAAGAGCGCACCAGCGAACGGGUGACCGUUCGGCUCGGCAAACCCCACUGGGAGCAAGGCCAAACAGGGAUUGUCACAGGCGAUAAUUCGUCGGUGACUUGAGUGAUCCGCUCCAUAUCCCGGGUAGGCCGCUAGAGCGCGCAGGCAACUGUGCGUCCAGAUAAAUGACCGUCGCCGGACGCAAGUCCGGAACAGAACCCGGCUUAUGGCCGACUCUCAUU
rnacentral:RNase_P_RNA from 1 species